GUCCUAGCCGUAAACGGUGUGCACUUGCUGUAAGAGGAAUCGACCCCUUUUGUGGCGAAGCAAACGCGUUAAGUGCACCGCCUGGGAAGUACGGUCGCAAGAUUAAAACUCAAAGAAAUUGACGGGGGCCUGCACAAGCGGUGGAGUAUGUGGCUCAAUUCGAUGCAACGCGAAGAACCUUACCUGGCCUUGACAUGUAGAUGGUAGAAGGAUGAAAGUCUGACGACCUCGCAAGAGGAGUCUACACAGGUGCUGCAUGGCUGUCGU
rnacentral:rRNA from 1 species